rnacentral:rRNA from 1 species
ACGGAGGGUGCAAGCGUUAAUCGGAAUUACUGGGCGUAAAGCGCACGCAGGCGGUUUGUUAAGUCAGAUGUGAAAUCCCCGGGCUCAACCUGGGAACUGCAUCUGAUACUGGAAAGCUUGAGUCUCGGAGAGGGGGAUAGAAUACCAGGUGUAGCAGUGAAAUGCGUAGAGAUCAGAUAGAAUACCGGUGGCGAAGGCAGCCAACUGGACGGAGACUGACGCUAAAGCGCGAAAGCGUGGGUAGCAAACAG